rnacentral:rRNA from 1 species
GGUUAAGCGACUAAGCGUACACGGUGGAUGCCCUGGCAGUCAGAGGCGAUGAAGGGCGUGCUAAUCUGCGAUAAGCGCCGGUAAGGUGAUAUGAACCGUUAUAACCGGCGAUACCCGAAUGGGGAAACCCAGUGUGAUUCGUCACACUAUCAUUAACUGAAUCCAUAGGUUAAUGAGGCGAACCGGGGGAACUGAAACAUCUAAGUACCCCGAGGAAAAGAAAUCAACCGAGAUUCCCCCAGUAGCGGCGAGCGAACGGGGAGGAGCCCAGAGCCUGAAUCAGCAUGUGUGUUAGUGGAAGCGUCUGGAAAGGCGCGCGAUACAGGGUGACAGCCCCGUACACAAAAGCGCAUGUGCUGUGAGCUCGAUGAGUAGGGCGGGACACGUGGUAUCCUGUCUGAAUAUGGGGGGACCAUCCUCCAAGGCUAAAUACUCCUGACUGACCGAUAGUGAACCAGUACCGUGAGGGAAAGGCGAAAAGAACCCCGGCGAGGGGAGUGAAAAAGAACCUGAAACCGUGUACGUACAAGCAGUGGGAGCCCCACCACCAAAGCAUUCUCUGGUGUUGAAGGCCCUGCAAAGCAGCAUCGCGGUGGCGGAGCGUCGUUUGCGACGCCCAACACACAAAACAAGCGGUGAAUGCUUUGGGGUGGGGUGACUGCGUACCUUUUGUAUAAUGGGUCAGCGACUUAUAUUCUGUAGCAAGGUUAACCGAAUAGGGGAGCCGGAGGGAAACCGAGUCUUAAUUGGGCGUUAAGUUGCAGGGUAUAGACCCGAAACCCGGUGAUCUAGCCAUGGGCAGGUUGAAGGUUGGGUAACACUAACUGGAGGACCGAACCGACUAAUGUUGAAAAAUUAGCGGAUGACCUGUGGCUGGGGGUGAAAGGCCAAUCAAACCGGGAGAUAGCUGGUUCUCCCCGAAAGCUAUUUAGGUAGCGCCUCGUGAAUUCAUCUCCGGGGGUAGAGCACUGUUUCGGCUAGGGGGCCAUCCCGGCUUACCAACCCGAUGCAAACUGCGAAUACCGGAGAAUGUUAUCACGGGAGACACACGGCGGGUGCUAACGUCCGUCGUGAAGAGGGAAACAACCCAGACCGCCAGCUAAGGUCCCAAAGUCAUGGUUAAGUGGGAAACGAUGUGGGAAGGCCCAGACAGCCAGGAUGUUGGCUUAGAAGCAGCCAUCAUUUAAAGAAAGCGUAAUAGCUCACUGGUCGAGUCGGCCUGCGCGGAAGAUGUAACGGGGCUAAACCAUGCACCGAAGCUGCGGCAGCGAACGUAUCACCCAAGACAACUUUACGGAGUUGACGAUUGACGGAGCGAAGCGACGUCAAAGCGUUCAUUAAAGUCGAGUUGGCUUAGGGAUACGUUCGUUGGGUAGGGGAGCGUUCUGUAAGCCUGUGAAGGUGUGUCGUGAGGCAUGCUGGAGGUAUCAGAAGUGCGAAUGCUGACAUAAGUAACGAUAAAGCGGGUGAAAAGCCCGCUCGCCGGAAGACCAAGGGUUCCUGUCCAACGUUAAUCGGGGCAGGGUGAGUCGACCCCUAAGGCGAGGCCGAAAGGCGUAGUCGAUGGGAAACGGGUUAAUAUUCCCGUACUUGGUGUUACUGCGAAGGGGGGACGGAGAAGGCUAUGUUGGCCGGGCGACGGUUGUCCCGGUUUAAGCGUGUAGGUGUGUGUUCCAGGUAAAUCCGGUUCACUUUAACACUGAGGCGUGAUGACGAGGCACUACGGUGCUGAAGCAACAAAUGCCCUGCUUCCAGGAAAAGCCUCUAAGCAUCAGGUAACAUCAAAUCGUACCCCAAACCGACACAGGUGGUCAGGUAGAGAAUACCAAGGCGCUUGAGAGAACUCGGGUGAAGGAACUAGGCAAAAUGGUGCCGUAACUUCGGGAGAAGGCACGCUGACACGUAGGUGAAGUGAUUUACUCACGGAGCUGAAGUCAGUCGAAGAUACCAGCUGGCUGCAACUGUUUAUUAAAAACACAGCACUGUGCAAACACGAAAGUGGACGUAUACGGUGUGACGCCUGCCCGGUGCCGGAAGGUUAAUUGAUGGGGUCAGCGCAAGCGAAGCUCCUGAUCGAAGCCCCGGUAAACGGCGGCCGUAACUAUAACGGUCCUAAGGUAGCGAAAUUCCUUGUCGGGUAAGUUCCGACCUGCACGAAUGGCGUAAUGAUGGCCAGGCUGUCUCCACCCGAGACUCAGUGAAAUUGAACUCGCUGUGAAGAUGCAGUGUACCCGCGGCAAGACGGAAAGACCCCGUGAACCUUUACUAUAGCUUGACACUGAACAUUGAGCCUUGAUGUGUAGGAUAGGUGGGAGGCUUUGAAGUGUGGACGCCAGUCUGCAUGGAGCCGACCUUGAAAUACCACCCUUUAAUGUUUGAUGUUCUAACGUGGACCCGUAAUCCGGGUUGCGGACAGUGUCUGGUGGGUAGUUUGACUGGGGCGGUCUCCUCCUAAAGAGUAACGGAGGAGCACGAAGGUUGGCUAAUCCUGGUCGGACAUCAGGAGGUUAGUGCAAUGGCAUAAGCCAGCUUGACUGCGAGCGUGACGGCGCGAGCAGGUGCGAAAGCAGGUCAUAGUGAUCCGGUGGUUCUGAAUGGAAGGGCCAUCGCUCAACGGAUAAAAGGUACUCCGGGGAUAACAGGCUGAUACCGCCCAAGAGUUCAUAUCGACGGCGGUGUUUGGCACCUCGAUGUCGGCUCAUCACAUCCUGGGGCUGAAGUAGGUCCCAAGGGUAUGGCUGUUCGCCAUUUAAAGUGGUACGCGAGCUGGGUUUAGAACGUCGUGAGACAGUUCGGUCCCUAUCUGCCGUGGGCGCUGGAGAACUGAGGGGGGCUGCUCCUAGUACGAGAGGACCGGAGUGGACGCAUCACUGGUGUUCGGGUUGUCAUGCCAAUGGCACUGCCCGGUAGCUAAAUGCGGAAGAGAUAAGUGCUGAAAGCAUCUAAGCACGAAACUUGCCCCGAGAUGAGUUCUCCCUGAGACUUAGAGUCUCCUGAAGGAACGUUGAAGACGACGACGUUGAUAGGCCGGGUGUGUAAGCGCAGCGAUGCGUUGAGCUAACCGGUACUAAUGAACCGUGAGGCUUAACCUUAC